rnacentral:rRNA from 1 species
GAUGAACGCUGGCGGCGCGCCUAACACAUGCAAGUCGAACGGCACCCCUCUCCGGAGGGAAGCGAGUGGCGAACGGCUGAGUAACACGUGGAGAACCUGCCCCCUCCCCCGGGAUAGCCGCCCGAAAGGACGGGUAAUACCGGAUACCCCGGGGUGCCGCAUGGCACCCCGGCUAAAGCCACGACGGGAGGGGAUGGCUCCGCGGCCCAUCAGGUAGACGGCGGGGUGACGGCCCACCGUGCCGACAACGGGUAGCCGGGUUGAGAGACCGACCGGCCAGAUUGGGACUGAGACACGGCCCAGACUCCUACGGGAGGCAGCAGUGGGGAAUCUUGCGCAAUGGGGGGAACCCUGACGCAGCGACGCCGCGUGCGGGACGGAGGCCUUCGGGUCGUACACCGCUUUCAGCAGGGAAGAGUCAAGACUGUACCUGCAGAAGAAGCCCCGGCUAACUACGUGCCAGCCGCCGCCGUAA